rnacentral:rRNA from 1 species
UACGAAGGGGGCUAGCGUUGCUCGGAAUCACUGGGCGUAAAGCGCACGUAGGCGGCUUUUUAAGUCAGAGGUGAAAUCCUGGAGCUCAACCCCAGAACUGCCUUUGAUACUGGAGAGCUUGAGUCCGGGAGAGGUGAGUGGAACUGCGAGUGUAGAGGUGAAAUUCGUAGAUAUUCGCAAGAACACCAGUGGCGAAGGCGGCUCACUGGCCCGGUACUGACGCUGAGGUGCGAAAGCGUGGGGAGCAAACAGG